GUGGUGCUGCAGGUGCGGGAUGGCGAUGAUGGGCAGCCGCAGGCACAGGUCUUGCAGGGAACGACGGAGUCGUUGUAGUAGGCGGAGAAGGAGACGCAGCAUUUCGGGGUCGACCCCUUCCGCUUGUUUAUGUUGCAGACGAUCUCCCAGCUGGCGAUGGCGAGCGAGUAGGAUUGCAGCCCGCUGGGGUCGGGGAAUUGGGUGGGCGAGACGCGGGAGGGAGGGCCGCAGCGGAAGUCGGGGUUGAGCUCGCCGCCGGUGAUCCGCCAGUUGCUUGGGGGGAAGAUGGUGGUGCGGUUGAGGUCCGGUGGCAUCUUGAAGACCUGGAUCUGGAAUGCGGAUUCGGUUUC
rnacentral:misc_RNA from 1 species